AUCCAAAUGACGAGUUGAAAAUAGGAUGGAACUCGAGUCCUAGAU
rfam:Schistosoma curassoni strain Dakar, Senegal genome assembly, scaffold: SCTD_scaffold0002350